rnacentral:misc_RNA from 1 species
GAUGAAGAACGUAGCGAAAUGCGAUAAGUAAUGUGAAUUGCAGAAUUCAGUGAAUCAUCGAAUCUUUGAACGCACAUUGCGCCCGCCAGUAUUCUGGCGGGCAUGCCUGUUCGAGCGUCAUUUCCACCAUCAGGCCCCCGGGCCUGUGUUGGGGACCUGCGGCUGCCCGCAGGCCCCGAAAUUCAGUGGCGGUCGCGCCGUAGCAACCGAGCGUAGUAACUAAAACGUCUCGCUCUGGCUCGCUGGGCGCGCUACGGCCGUAAAACACCCCCCCUUUUCGCAAAGGUUGACCUCGGAUCAGGUAGGAAUACCCGCUGAACUUAAGCAUAUCAAUAAGCGGAGGA